UAGGGAAUAUUGCGCAAUGGAGGAAACUCUGACGCAGCGACGCCGCGUGGGUGACGAAGGUCUUCGGAUCGUAAAGCCCUGUCGGAAGGGAAGAAAAAUAGCAUGGCUAACAUCCAUGCUACUUGACGGUACCUUUAGAGGAAGCACCGGCUAACUACGUGCCAGCAGCCGCGGUAAUACGUAGGGUGCUAGCGUUGUUCGGAAUCAUUGGGCGUAAAGCGCGUGUAGGCUGCUAGGUAAGUCGAUUGUGAAAUCCCUGGGCUCAACCGAGGAAGUGCAGUCGAAACUCCCUAGCUAGAAGACGGUAGAGGAAGGUGGAAUUCCAAGUGUAGAGGUGAAAUUCGUAGAUAUUUGGAGGAAUACCGGUGGCGAAGGCGGCCUUCUGGACCGCUCUUGACGCUGAGACGCGAAAGCGUGGGUAGCAAACAGG
rnacentral:rRNA from 1 species